UACAGAGGCCUCGAGCGUUAGGCGGAAUCACUGGGCUUAAAGAGCGUGUAGGCGGCCCGGUAAGUCCGCUGUGAAAGUCGAGGGCUCAACCCUCGAAUGCCGGCGGAUACUGUCGGGCUAGAGUCCGGAAGAGGAGAGUGGAAUUCCCGGUGUAGCGGUGAAAUGCGCAGAUAUCGGGAAGAACACCCGUGGCGAAGGCGGCUCUCUGGGACGGUACUGACGCUGAGACGCGAAAGCGUGGGGAGCGAACAGG
rnacentral:rRNA from 1 species